rnacentral:tRNA from 1 species
GGGUGCGUAGGCUAAUGGUAAACUGGACGGCUCCAGACCGUCAUUUGAGGGUUCGAUCCCCUCCGUGCCCA